rnacentral:misc_RNA from 1 species
UCGUAACAAGGUUUCCGUAGGUGAACCUGCGGAAGGAUCAUUACCGAGUGAGGGUUUCUCUGAGCCCAACCUCCCACCCGUGUAUACCGUACCCUGUUGCUUCGGCGGGCCCGCCUCACGGCCGCCGGGGGACCUCGCGUCCCCGGGCCCGCGCCCGCCGAAGACCCCAACACGAACACUGUCUGAAAAGUGCAGUCUGAGUCGAUUGUUACCAAUCAGUCAAAACUUUCAACAAUGGAUCUCUUGGUUCCGGCAUCGAUGAAGAACGCAGCGAAAUGCGAUAACUAAUGUGAAUUGCAGAAUUCAGUGAAUCAUCGAGUCUUUGAACGCACAUUGCGCCCCCUGGUAUUCCGGGGGGCAUGCCUGUCCGAGCGUCAUUGCUGCCCUCAAGCACGGCUUGUGUGUUGGGCCCCGUCCCCGGUACCCCCGGGGACGGGCCCGAAAGGCAGCGGCGGCACCGCGUCCGGUCCUCGAGCGUAUGGGGCUUUGUCACCCGCUCUGCAGGCCCGGCCGGCGCCAGCCGACCAACCCAACCAUUUUUUACAGGUUGACCUCGGAUCAGGUAGGGAUACCCGCUGAACUUAAGCAUAUCAAUAAGCGGAGGA